AUAGUGCAAUAUGAUGCACGCCUUAUUGCGCAAGGUUUCUCUCAAACGUCCUGUGAUUGAUAGCAGUGUGAUGAAAUAUGGUUAGUGUUUUCUCCAUGGGGAUAUAGAUACGGAGAUUUACAUGUAAGUUCCUGAAGAAUUACAUGGAUUGGUUCAAAUAGUUCUAAAUCACAGAACACCCUCUUAACUUUUUUGAGGAGUUCACUUACAAUCUGAUGGAUGUGGUAUAUCCAUCUAAGUAAUUAUUUGACCAGUCAGGGAUAUGAAUUAUGCCCUUGCAUGUUAAAUUAUGAAGUCUUAUUUCAAAUUGCUAGAAAUACAGUUUAUGUCGUUGAUACGAAUCUUACUAAGACUCCAGAAGAGCUUGAGAAAACUGCCUUGCACCUGAAAGAUGGAAUUUGAGAUGAAGGAUCUUAGGAAACUCGUUUAUGCCUUGACUUAAAGUUGAAGCAUUGUUCUAAUGGUAUUUUGGUUUACCAAUUGAACUACACCUUGAAUGUGUUACUUUUGAGUAUACCUUUGAUCAUCCAUAUGUUAUAUGCAAAUGAGACCCUUGAAGAGGUUAUGGAAUCCGAAAUUCCAUAUAUAAAAGUCAACUUUGCGUUUUGUUGUACUUAGCUCAUUGUAUUUAGACAGGACAUCUCCAAUAAGUCACUAGUGAAAAAUAAAUACGUAUUUAAUUUUAUUAAUACUGAAUUGUUAAUAUUAAAUUCAAAUUUUUAAAUAAAAUUUUAUGAAGAUAAAAAAUGAAAAUUAGAAUUUUCAUUUUAAUUAUUUCGUAUUACAGUAAUUUUUUUUAUAACUGUUGAUCUAUUGGUAAAGAUGCAACACCACGCCUAUACACAACCACUUAAUUGGUAUUAAAGACGUACCAUGAAGGUACUACAUGGGCAAAUCCCAAUGCAUCUCAAGCAGAUCCAACCCCCCUGAUCCUCGGAAAGAUACUUGCCUUGUUUGUUAUGUUGACGCUGGUUACUUAUCAAACCCGCACAAGGAAAAAUCCCCCAAAUGGUUAUGUCUUUACCGUUAGGCAUAUCGCAAUAUCUUAGAGGUCCAUGAUAUGAACUUGGUUGCGAAAUCUUCGAAUCAUUCUAAGAUUCACCUCACUUCACUACGCCACAAGUGAGACAUGGUUAAAAGUUCUUGUUGAGCAUAUUCGAAGUACUUGCUGUGUUUUCAUCCAUCGUUGAGUCCCAACAAUGAUCCAUGAAGAUUAUAUUGCAUACAUCCACCCGACUAAGCCAUGAUACAUCAACAAAGUCAAUGCCAAGACAUCUUGUGUCUACAUCAGCAAAGCAUCAGGAGAUUGAAGUCAUGUAAGCUGAUCCCAGACAACCUUGUCGACCUUUACACGACGUCAUUUCCGAAGUCAACCUUCCAGAAGCUUGUCCAAGGAAUUGGUAUGCCUAACUAUCAUAUGCAAUGCUUGUAGUUCUCAUUUGGAAGUUAUGUUAAACUCAGGGGAAGUAUCCAAAAGUAUACUCACUUGAUCUUAAUGAACUCUUUUUCCUUACGAUUAGGAGCAUUUUUCCCACUGGAUUUUUGCUAUCUAACUAGGUUUUAAUGAGGCACCCAUCCUGGGUUGAUCAUACCCUUGUGAGCUCUUCUACUUGUGUCCAAAAGACGUAUAGUUUUGACUUAAUGCAACUUCUCACUUUUUUCCUUAGUCUAUGUGUUUUCUCCACACCUUGGGUUUUACCAUAGCGAUGUUUUGUGAGUUUUACUUUUUAUGCAUUCUCCCGUUGAUCUGAGACUCGCAUUCGCUCAUUAUGGCGAUGACUUCAUCAAUUGUAUUUACUUCAUUACUGAAGACCUGAUGCGCCAUUUACUUGAGUAUUUACAUACUCAAGGGGGAGUAUUGCAGUCCUAUUAGAUUAGGAAUGUGAUUGUGUAAAUCCUAGUAGAUAUGGGAAUGUAUCUUAUGUUCCUAUUAGGAGUAGAUUACCUAUUAAAUGUUGUAAUCCUAAAGGGUAAGGAAUUAACCUUCCUUACUACUAUAAAUAAAGACAAAAUGGGGUAGAAUAACACACACCCACAAUUACACAUCUCUCUCUUCUCUCUACUAUUGCCGCACCUCCCUCUCUCUCUCUAUGACCUCCAUAAUCGUUCAGUAAAUUAUGUCUACAACAUCUUGAUUUUAUUUCCAUGUAGUAAGACUUUUAUCUAAUGUAUAGCCAGAUGUGAUGAAUCUUUAGAAAACAAUCUAAUGUCAAUACCAAUGCAUUGUACCCAUAAUUUUUUUCACGCUAAUUUUAUGUAUUUAUUUUAUGUUUCAAAAUAGGAUAAACUAGAUUACCAUCCCUCAUCUUUCUUUCUCAUCAAUUGAAACCUUAUUCUUUUUUCAUUUGUGAUCAAGGCCCCUUGACUUUUCUCCAUGUUAUUAUUAGAAUUUUAAAUUAUUUACAAGUGAUUAUAUGACAAUUUAAAAAUGAAAAACUUAUUAAUCAUUUCCAAAUAUAUCUUUUUAGUAUUUGUCUUUCAUAUAUUUCUAUUUAUUUUGUACCCUUUUUAAAUUUGUACCAAUAUUCUUUUUAGUUUUAAUUUGUACCCAUAA
rnacentral:lncRNA from 1 species